rnacentral:tRNA from 1 species
GCUCGCGUAGCCCAAUUGGCAGAGGCGUCCGGUUCAGGUCCGGAAGGUUGGGGGUUCGAAUCCCUCCGCGAGUA